GGGGAAUUUUCCGCAAUGGGCGAAAGCCUGACGGAGCAAUACCGCGUGAGGGAGGAAGGCUCUUGGGUUGUAAACCUCUUUUCUCAAGGAAGAAAAAAAUGACGGUACUUGAGGAAUAAGCAUCGGCUAACUCCGUGCCAGCAGCCGCGGUAAUACGGAGGAUGCAAGCGUUAUCCGGAAUGAUUGGGCGUAAAGCGUCCGCAGGUGGCUAUGUAAGUCUGCUGUUAAAGAGUCUGGCUCAACCAGAUAAAGGCAGUGGAAACUACAUGGCUAGAGUGCGUUCGGGGCAGAGGGAAUUCCUGGUGUAGCGGUGAAAUGCGUAGAGAUCAGGAAGAACACCGGUGGCGAAAGCGCUCUGCUAGGCCGCAACUGACACUGAGGGACGAAAGCUAGGGGAGCGAAUGGGAUUAGAUACCCCAGUAGUCCUAGCCGUAAACGAUGGAUACUAGGCGUGGCUUGUAUCGACCCGAGCCGUGCCGUAGCUAACGCGUUAAGUAUCCCGCCUGGGGAGUACGCAGGCAACUGUGAAACUCAAAGGAAUUGACGGGGGCCCGCACAAGCGGUGGAGUAUGUGGUUUAAUUCGAUGCAACGCGAAGAACCUUACCAGGACUUGACAUGUCGCGAAUCCUUGCGAAAGUAGGGAGUGCCUUCGGGAGCGCGAACACAGGUGGUGCAUGGCUGUCGUCAGCUCGUGUCGUGAGAUGUUGGGUUAAGUCCCGCAACGAGCGCAACCCUCGUUUUUAGUUGCCAGCAUUAAGUUGGGCACUCUAGAGAGACUGCCGGUGACAAACCGGAGGAAGGUGGGGAUGACGUCAAGUCAGCAUGCCCCUUACGUUCUGGGCUACACACGUACUACAAUGCUACGGACAAAGGGCAGCAAGCAUGCGAAUGCAAGCUAAUCUCAUAAACCGUGGCUCAGUUCAGAUCGCAGGCUGCAACUCGCCUGCGUGAAGGAGGAAUCGCUAGUAAUUGCAGGUCAGCAUACUGCAGUGAAUUCGUUCCCGGGCCUUGUACACACCGCCCGUCACACCAUGGAAGCUGGUAGUGCCCGAAGUCAUUACCCCAACUGUUCGCAGAGGGGGAUGCCUAAGGCAGGACUGGUGACUGGGGUGAAGUCGUAACAAGGUAGCCGUACCGGAAGGUGUGGCUGGAUCACCUCCU
rnacentral:rRNA from 1 species